AUCCCUAGUCUUGGGAUUAUAAUCAUUGGACUAAUUCAUCUCACCUGGGAGAUGGGAUAAAAUAAUACCAAGUUGGAAACAAUGAAGAAACUCAUAAAUUUAAUUUUUAUCAUAGUAGUGGAAACAAUGAAGAAACUCAUAAAUUUAUUUUUUAUCAUAGUAGUGGAAACAAUGAAACUCAUGGAAAUGAAGUAAUGAGAUUUCAAGGAUAACGGAGGGAUAUCAUGACACUCGGAAUGUAAUACAUGAACACUUCACCACUUUCAUGUGUAAUUGAAGGCAGAAUUCACUUAUUGAAAAGAUUAAUCAGAUUUGAAAAACCUUGCCUGGGGAGAACAAAUAGAAAUUAGUUUUACGGACCUUAAUCGCUCUAAUAGAUCCAAAGGAAAAACCCAAAUUUUAAAGAUCCCCCAAAUCCUCAUUUGAACCCUUGAGAAGGGUUUUCUUGAAAACCCUAUGUUUUAGAGUAGAAUCUCAUUAAGAACCCAUAUACGAGUGUAAGAAUAGAGAAUAGUCGUGCUAGGGCUUGGAGAAGUGAAGAAUGCGAUAAAAAUGUGAAGUAGUGAAACUUUCCAUCACCUACUGUACAAAGAUGAAAAGAAAUGCCAUGACCAUCUUUCUGCUCUUUGUGAUAUUCUAUACUAAACUUCUUUGUUUUAAUGAAAUGUUUCUGAUACCUAAGAGCUCAACAUUUCAGUUACCAUAGUUUCAGACAUGGUGCUACUUAUCCACACCUAGACUUGUUGUAUUGUUAAACCUUAGAUCUGUCAUUUGUUGCAUUGUUAACUUAAAGCCUAGCUUGUGGAAUGCAUACUUCAGUUGUAGAUUAUGAAUACUUCAGUUGUAGAGUUCGGUUGCUUCUUUUAGUGACCAUUAUUUUAGAAAGAACUUGAUCAGAUACUUUGUUGCUCCAUUAUUUACAAUUCACCUAGCUUGUUAUCCUUACGCUUCACGAAGGUAUAUUUUAUUGUUUUAUCAGAGCAGAGAAGACUUCAAUUCUGUCUGAUCUAAUCAGGAAAACACAUGCUCAAGAAAUGAAAUGGAUUAUAAUGAUAAUUCUCAAAGAUCUGAAGUUGGGAAUUAGUGAAAAGAGCAUCUUUUACUAAUUCCAUCCAGAUGCAGAGGACUUGCUCAAUGUCACAUGCGAUUUUAAACUAGUUUGUGAAAAGUUGAGGGACAGAAGUCAACGGCAUAAACACCAGGCGAACCCGUCUCGAUGCGACACUAGUGCGGGCGCGGGUGCGGGGUGUGUGUCGAAUUCGGUCAAUCCAAUUCGGACACUUUGACCGAAGCCGAGAAAAGAUUUGGGGAAGAAAAAAUCAGUUUCCAACGACGUAAAGAGCACAAAGCUUGAAAAAGUACAUAGAAGAGAAGAAAGAAGAGAAAAUCAGUUUUCGGCGACGUAAAGAGAACAAAGCUUGAAAAAGUACAAAGAAGAGAAGAAAGAAGAGAAAAUCAGUUUCUGACGACAUAAAGAGGACAAAGCUUGAAAAAGUAUAGAGAAGAGAAGAAAGAAGAGAAAAUCAGUUUUCGGCGACGGCGACGUAAAGAGGACAAAGUUGAAAAAGUACAAAGAAGAGAAGAAAGAAGAGUUUUUUCUUGAAAGAGUAAAGGAAAUACAGAGUCUUGUUUUUUAUCUUUCUUGAAAAUAUAUGUACACAAUUACAUACACGGUCUCUUGAAAAAAAGAAAGCUCAAAAAGUCUUCCAAGUACAGUAGCGUCAGAAAGAUGACAUCCCAUCAGCCAUCAACUAGUCCAAAAAUCUUUCCAUUCUCACCAACUUACAUGUAUAAAGAAAAUAGGAAAAGAGACGUUAGAAAAGGAGAGAAGGAAACACUAUUUUCAAAGAUAAAUAUUUUGUCCAUAUAAAUAGGACGAGUUGGAUUGAAAAAUGGGAUCUAACAAUAUU